UGGGGAAUAUUGGACAAUGGGCGCAAGCCUGAUCCAGCCAUGCCGCGUGAGUGAUGAAGGCCUUAGGGUUGUAAAGCUCUUUCACCGGAGAAGAUAAUGACGGUAUCCGGAGAAGAAGCCCCGGCUAACUUCGUGCCAGCAGCCGCGGUAAUACGAAGGGGGCUAGCGUUGUUCGGAAUUACUGGGCGUAAAGCGCACGUAGGCGGACUUUUAAGUCAGGGGUGAAAUCCCGGGGCUCAACCUCGGAACUGCCUUUGAUACUGGAAGUCUGGAGUAUGGAAGAGGUAAGUGGAAUUCCGAGUGUAGAGGUGAAAUUCGUAGAUAUUCGGAGGAACACCAGUGGCGAAGGCAGCCCACUAAGCAAUGAUUGACGCUGAGGCACGAAAGCGUGGGGAUCAAACA
rnacentral:rRNA from 1 species